rnacentral:rRNA from 1 species
UACGGGGGGAGCAAGCGUUGUUCGGAUUUACUGGGCGUAAAGGGCGCGUAGGCGGCCAGCGCAAGUCAGUUGUGAAAUCUCCGGGCUUAACUCGGAACGGUCAACUGAUACUGCGCGGCUAGAGUGCGGAAGGGGCAACUGGAAUUCUCGGUGUAGCGGUGAAAUGCGUAGAUAUCGAGAGGAACACCUGCGGCGAAGGCGGGUUGCUGGGCCGACACUGACGCUGAUGCGCGAAAGCUAGGGGAGCAAACAGG